rnacentral:rRNA from 1 species
CUCCGGUUUGAUCCUGCCGGACCCGACUGCUAUCGGAUUGAGAUUUAGCCAUGCGAGUCGAACGUUCCCCUGUUGCGGGGAGCGUGGCGUACGGCUCAGUAACACGUAGUCAACCUGCCCUGGAGACAAGGACAACCCCGGGAAACUGGGAUUAAUCCUUGAUAGGUCAUCUCAUCUGGAAGGAGAGAUGGCUUAAAGGGGUACGCGGGCUUCUUCCGCGAAUUCGCUCCAGGAUGGGACUGCGUCCGAUCAGGCUGUUGGCGGGGUAAUGGCCCACCAAACCUGUAACCGGUACGGGCCUUGAGAGAGGUGGCCCGGAGAUGGACACUGAGAGAAGGGUCCAGGUCCUACGGGGCGCAGCAGGCGCGAAACCUUCGCAAUGCGCGAAAGCGUGACGAGGUUAAUCCGAGUGACUCCCGCUGAGGGGGUCUUUUGUCAGCUGUAAAUAGGCAGGCGAAUAAGGGGAGGGCAAGCCUGGUGUCAGCCGCCGCGGUAAUACCAGCUCCUCGAGUGGUCGGGGCGAUUAUUGGGCCUAAAGCAUCCGUAGCCGGUUCCGUAGGUCCUCUGUUAAAUCCAACCGCUCAACGGUUGACCUGCAGAGGAUACCGCGGGACUAGGAGGCGGGAGAGGCGGACGGUACUCCGCGUGUAGGGGUAAAAUCCUUUGAUCCGCGGAAGACCACCAGUGGCGAAGGCGGUCCGCCAGAACGCGCUCGACGGUGAGGGAUGAAAGCUGGGGGAGCGAACCGGAUUAGAUACCCGGGUAGUCCCAGCUGUAAACGAUGCAGACUCGGUGAUGGGUUGGCUUUGAGCCAACCCAGUGCCGCAGGGAAGCCGUUAAGUCUGCCGCCUGGGGAGUACGGUCGCAAGACUGAAACUUAAAGGAAUUGGCGGGGGAGCA